CGCAGAGCCGGCAUGUCUGCUAUGAACUCUGUGGUUCAGCCAGACCAAUCUGAUCCAGAGUCUGACCCAGAAGGAGAGGCCCCUGAAGAAAUCCAAACUCUGCGGCUGCAGCAGGACGUUUCUGAAUGGUGCAGCUGUGGAAACUGAGCUACCAUGCCCACAGAAGCUGAGAAUAUCUGCUGUUUGGAGAUACCACAGGUCACCAGACGGCUGCGGGAGGUGGAGGAGCAGCCGUCCUGUAUGGUGGACCAUCCUGGGUUGGAGCCUGUUUGCCUCAGUGUGUACUCUCUGCAGAAAGCCUGCCAAAUGUAUGGUGCUGACUAUGGUCCUUUACAGCUGAGAGGAAUACACCAGUAUGCUAUGCUUUGUAUCUAAAUCAAAAAUGUAGUCUUACUUUGCUUCAGUGAGCAUAAUCUUACAAUUGUAACAAAACGUGAUGAGGUGAAUUGAUUUUGCUUUUUUAAAACUGCAUAUUUCUUCCAAAAGCCGUUGAUCUGUACAUCAUUCAUGUAAUCACAGAGUGCCUUCGGUAGACAAGCAUUUAUUGACAUCACACACUUUACAUAUGACCAUAACACGGGGCCAGCCUAUGACUGGCGGUGACCUCCUCUGUCAGGCCGCUGAACUGUGCAGUCAGGUCCUCUGGAACGGGGAUGGCCAGGACUGCCUCUGUGUAUGGAGCCGGAUCCUUGAAGAUUUCUUCAAAAAUGAGGUCCAUCAUCUCAGCAACAUACCCUGUUUCAGAACAGACAUGCACAAAGAAACCGUUGUUUUUGUUUUGUUUUUUUAAUUUUACAAUGAC